rnacentral:lncRNA from 1 species
CGCUAUAUAACUAACCCUUGAAUCUUUGAUCUUGUUUGUUAAUGGUUAGUUUAUUUAGUUACCGUGUUGUUUUGUUUUUAACAAAUCCUUUAAUGUAGUUUCAUUGUUUCAACUUACAAGGGUUUCUUUAAAAAAAAACAUGCAAGGGCUAAUUUGUAAGAAUGAACAGUUUUUUUGUCUACAAUAUAAAUAUAAUCUGAAAAAAAAGAUAUAAAGAUUCGGUUAAGUCUGUAAGUAAAUUGAAGAAAUUGUUGGUUACGUUCUUCAAUCUCCAUCAUGGCAGAAUUCAACGGAACAGCAAGAAGAAGCAUCCCCAUUCCUGAAGCUUCUUCAAAGAAUUCACAAAUCGUAUUACCGUCAUCGCAGCUCAGUCUUGGUAGUUUCGAGGAGGAGAUGAGAGUAGGGUCUCAGUCUCAGUCGUCUUUGAAAACUCGCACGCCAUUCUGUGGUCAUUUGCAGCGGAAGAAAAGAGUAGCUAAAUACAAGAUGUAUAAUGCAGAGAGCAAGAUGAAGGCAUCUUUGAAGAAAAGCUUGAAAUGGUUCAAGAGGAAGUGCGUUCAGAUCGUCGACCGUCUGACGUAGGUGAUCCAUUGGUCCGAAGUAUAUAUAUCCCUGUAAAAAAUAAUAAGAAAUUUUAUUCAAUUUCUGGAUUUCCGUGAUUUCUGGAUUUUAUUUUUAGAACAUACAUGCAUAUUCUCAGGUAAUUUAGAGCUUUGUUAAUAAUCAAUCAAUUAAUCACCUGAGAAGAAGGAGGAAAAGAGAAGACGAUCUGUAGUUGUAGUUGAACUUGAGAUUAUUGUUCUUUGAUCGGAAAAACUUAUUCUGGAAUCUUUUUCUUCUUUCUGCAUUUGAAAAAUCUGUAAGAAAUAUAUAGUUGAAAGGAAGGAAUUAUGAUCACAAAUCUAUUUUAUCAUACCUAUUUUAUCCAAUGGUUCAAAUUUUAUGAAUGUUAUAUGCUGGUUUCACGUUAAUUUUAGUUUGAAAUUUUUGAUUUAAAUAACUUUUUUUAACGUAAAUUGAGAUCAAAACUCAAAAGGAUAAUUUUCUUAAGGGGUUGGGUGGGAUCAAGAAGACCCGGCCGGACCCAUCCAAUUGAAAGUUGGUUUAGACUUCAAUCCGGACCAUUGGGUUUUAAGUUUUAACUGGUCUCUGUUGCUGGCCUAAUUAAAAUAUUUUAUCUUAUUUGGUUGGUUCUGGUAUGCCCAUACCUCUAUGGCUAGGCAGUUCUUAGCCAAGUAGAUGUGUGCUUUGAUGUCAGCUAUUUUGGUUGUGCCCUGAGAACGACACACACCAUUGCUGAUGGACGACCGAUUCAAUUUUGACGGAAUCCAGUACAGGUACCGUUUGGCGUAUCGUGCCUGAAAACUUUUGCUGGAAAAAAUUUGAAGUAGUGAGCUGACAUGAAGGAUUAUCUUUAAAAUUAUUACUAGUUCUCAAAUAGUAAUAUAUCACCUGAAAUUGACUUAAUAUUAUGAUAUGUUACUACAAAAAAACAGGAAAACAGUCACAGCCAAAAUCACUGGUUAAAUGGUCAAAUAUGUGGCUAAACAUGUUUUUUAAAAGAAACUUCAUAUAAAUUCAUCAAUAAUAAGUUCAAAAACAUCUAUAAAAUCUUCGUCUCACAUUUAAAAAAAACAGUACACUUCGAGAUUAGUGUAAAAUGAAGGGGAUUAUCAGAUAUUUCAUGAAUGUUUUUGGGUUUAUCUAAAAAUGACUCAUUUGAAAAUUAUUCUGUAUUUUUAAUUUUAUUGACCUCAUACAAAAAAUCAUUUCUCAAUUAUUUAUAGAGAUACCAAAGUCAUCAAAAAAAUAAAAUAAGACGUUUCAACAAUCUUAAUAGUUACUGUGAUUAAUUGAUUUAUUUUUCAUAUAUUAGUUCAGACUAUAUGUUAUAAUAAUAAUAAUAUUUAUAAAAAGUAAUAAUAAUAUUCAUAAAAAAAAUUAAUAAUACAUGAAUUUAAUCAACGGUCGUGUGUUUGUGAAAUACAUGGGUUCCAUGUCUUGUUUUUUUUUUAUACGAGACGGUUGUUUUCAGCACUUGAAACUUGCAGGGAAGAAAAGGAAUUGGGUUUUUUUUUCUGCCAUAGAAGAAAUCUUUCGUCGGAAGAAACCCUGGAAUUUGGGGGUUUCUCUCUUGGGUAAAAAUAUCAGAUAGAUCAUAGAUAGAUAGAUUUAUUUUGAUCAUAGAUCAUAUUGGGAAUAAUUUUCUGUGGAGUUAAAUUAAGUUGGCAGAUGGAUAGCAAGGUUUACUACUGCUGUGUUUUCGACGGGAAGACGAAGAUUCAAUCAUACAACAAGAGAAAAGAUCAAAUACUGGAGACUAUGGCGGAUCAUUACCUGGAGAACGCUCCGCCGCACCAUUCAUGGUUCUUCCAUACUGUAAAAAGAACAACAUACGGGUUGUUGAUGGAAAGAGGAUUUACUUACUUGGUCAUCGUCGAUUCCACGAUCGUCAAUCCGUAUUUACUCAAUUUUCUUAGGUAUCUCCGGGAUGGAUUCAGAAAGCUCUCCGAUUCUCG